rnacentral:rRNA from 1 species
AUUGAACGCUGGCGGCAUGCCUUACACAUACAAGUCGAACGGUAACGGGCCUUCGGGUGCCGACGAGUGGCGAACGGGUGAGUAAUGCAUCGGAACGUACCUUUCAGUGGGGGAUAACGUAGCGAAAGUUACGCUAAUACCGCAUAUUCUGUGAGCAGGAAAGCAGGGGAUCGCAAGACCUCGCGCUGAUUGAGCGGCCGAUGUCAGAUUAGCUAGUUGGUGAGGUAAAGGCUCACCAAGGCGACGAUCUGUAGCGGGUCUGAGAGGAUGAUCCGCCACACUGGAACUGAGACACGGUCCAGACUCCUACGGGAGGCAGCAGUGGGGAAUUUUGGACAAAUGGGGGCAACCCUGAUCCAGCCAUGCCGCGUGAGUGAAG